rnacentral:tRNA from 1 species
UUGGUAGAGCGUUAGACUUUUAAUCUAACGGUCAGGGGUUCGAGUCCCCUACGGGGCU